GUGCUCGCUUCAGCAGCACAUAUAAUAACAUUGGAACGACACAGAGAAGAUUAGCAACGCCCCUGUGCAAGGAUGACAUGCAAAUUCAUGAAGUGUUCCAUAUUGUU